GUACACUCCUACGGGAGGCAGCAGUGGGGAAUUUUGAACAAUGGGCGAAAGCCUGAUACAGCAAUGCCGCGUGAGUGAAGAAGGCCUUCGGGUUGUAAAGCUCUUUUGUCAGGGAAGAAACGGUGAGAGCUAAUAUCUUUUGCUAAUGACGGUACCUGAAGAAUAAGCACCGGCUAACUACGUGCCAGCAGCCGCGGUAAUACGUAGGGUGCAAGCGUUAAUCGGAAUUACUGGGCGUAAAGCGUGCGCAGGCGGUUUUGUAAGUCUGAUGUGAAAUCCCCGGGCUCAACCUGGGAAUUGCAUUGGAGACUGCAAGGCUAGAAUCUGGCAGAGGGGGGUAGAAUUCCACGUGUAGCAGUGAAAUGCGUAGAUAUGUGGAGGAACACCGAUGGCGAAGGCAGCCCCCUGGGUCAAGAUUGACGCUCAUGCACGAAAGCGUGGGGAGCAAACAGGAUUAGAAACCCGAGUAGUCCC
rnacentral:rRNA from 1 species